rnacentral:rRNA from 1 species
UACGUAGGAGGCGAGCGUUGUUCGGAAUUAUUGGGCGUAAAGGGUGCGUAGGCGGUCUGAUAAGUCAUCUGUGAAAUCUAUGGGCUCAACCCAUAGUCUGCAGGCGAAACUGUCGGGCUUGAGUAUGGGAGAGGUGAGUGGAAUUUCCGGUGUAGCGGUGAAAUGCGUAGAUAUCGGAAGGAACACCUGUGGCGAAAGCGGCUCACUGGACCAUUACUGACGCUGAUGCACGAAAGCUAGGGGAGCAAACAGG